CCAAAUGAUCCCCAGUUGUUAAUUUCUCCACUGCCACCUGAGCCCACAAGCCAGCCUGUACCAGGCGCAACACAGCUUUUCCUCAUCUCCUUCUGCAGAGUAGGCUGGCCUACACCAGCUGCUCACAAAUCCACUGCGAAGACUUUCCUGGGAGCACUCCUCUGCGUCCAUGCCAAGAAUCCCUUCUACAGCAGACCACACAGCUUGCAACCCAUGCUGGAUUCCAGGAUGUUCAGCGAUGACUCCCGUCACCGUCGAGGUGCAGAUAAAAAGGAAGCCGAGUGUCUCCGUGCCGAGCCCGCCUGCCUCGUGAGCAGGGAGGUUAUAACGAGAAGAGAGCUGUCUCUGAGAAAAGCUAAUCCGUCGCGUUCGUGUCCAACCUUUACAAAUUGUGCCCGUGCGGCAGAGUUUGAAUCACUCUAACAGCCUCUGAAAACAAAUGCAAAGCCUUUCAAGUUCAUUCAAAGUCAUUACAGCACUUUCCAGAACUGAAUCAAUUACCGUAA
rnacentral:lncRNA from 1 species